AUUGAACGCUGGCGGCAGGCUUAACACAUGCAAGUCGAGCGGAGAUGAGGUGCUUGCACCUUAUCUUAGCGGCGGACGGGUGAGUAAUGCUUAGGAAUCUGCCUAUUAGUGGGGGACAACAUUCCGAAAGGGAUGCUAAUACCGCAUACGUCCUACGAGAGAAAGCAGGGGAUCUUCGGACCUUGCGCUAAUAGAUGAGCCUAAGUCGAAUUAGCUAGUUGGUGGGGUAAAGGCCUACCAAGGCGACGAUCUGUAGCGGGUCUGAGAGGAUGAUCCGCCACACUGGGACUGAGACACGGCCCAGACUCCUACGGGAGGCAGCAGUGGGGAAUAUUGGACAAUGGGGGGAACCCUGAUCCAGCCAUGCCGCGUGUGUGAAGAAGGCCUUAUGGUUGUAAAGCACUUUAAGCGAGGAGGAGGCUACUGAGACUAAUACUCUUGGAUAGUGGACGUUACUCGCAGAAUAAGCACCGGCUAACUCUGUGCCAGCAGCCGCCGUAAAAC
rnacentral:rRNA from 1 species